rnacentral:rRNA from 1 species
CCUACGGGGGGCUGCAGUGGGGAAUAUUGGACAAUGGGCGCAAGCCUGAUCCAGCAAUGCCGCGUGUGUGAAGAAGGCCUGCGGGUUGUAAAGCACUUUAAGCAGGAAAGAAGGGGUGGAAGUUAAUACCUUUCAUCAUUGACGUUACCUGCAGAAUAAGCUCCGGCUAACUCCGUGCCAGCAGCCGCGGUAAUACGGAGGGUGCAAACGUUAAGCGGACUUACUGGGCGUAGUGCGCGCGUAGCGGCGUGAAAGCCCCGGGCUUAACCUGGGAACUGCGGUUGAUACUGUCGAGCUAGAGUGUGGUAGAGGGGAGUGGAAUUUCCGGUGUAGCAGUGAAAUGCGUAGAGAUCGGAAGGAACACCAGUGGCGAAGGCGGCUCCCUGGACUAACACUGACGCUGAGGUGCGAAAGCGUGGGGAGCAAACAGGAUUAGAUACCCGUGUAGUC